rnacentral:rRNA from 1 species
UACGUAGGGGGCAAGCGUUAAUCGGAAUUACUGGGCGUAAAGCGUGCGCAGGCGGUUCGUCGUGUCCGAUGUGAAAGCCCCGGGCUCAACCUGGGAAUGGCAUUGGAAACUGGCGGACUCGAGUGUGGCAGAGGGGGGUGGAAUUCCGCGUGUAGCAGUGAAAUGCGUAGAGAUGCGGAGGAACACCGAUGGCGAAGGCAGCCCCCUGGGCUAACACUGACGCUCAGGCACGAAAGCGUGGGGAGCAAACAGG